ensembl:lncRNA LINC01241 long intergenic non-protein coding RNA 1241
CUUUUUUCUUCCAGUCAAUUUUUUCUUUGAUCUACAGAACUUGCUUCUUUUCUCUGAAGUUUUCACAAUACAGCAUGAUAGAAGGAGCACAGAGUGCCAGAGGCAGGGAAUUCCUAUGCUUCACUAGUGACUCAUAAGAAAACUUAAUAGAAGGUCUCUACUGCCUGCUGGCCCUGCAGUACCUGAUUGAUGUGGUCCCAAACUAAAGUAGGCUAACCUUCAUUGAACCAAGCACUUCAGAGCCAUGGGAAGAAGUAUGGGGGAAGGAGUCCUUGUACUCUGGCAAUGAGGAAAACAAACAUUAACAGUGCAAGACACAGUGAGAGUCACAGAUCCAUGGAUGGACGAUCCUUUUGAGGACAAUAGAGGGGGAAUUUGGAUAAGUUUCCUGAGUGAGAAACCUUCCAGAUGGCAAUCUGAAAGUUAGCUGUUCCUUCUCAAAACACAGAGCUUUCUCAAGAGAAAGAUAACACCCUCUUUCAUCAGAGCGAGCGAGCUUUCUUCAUGGUGGCAAUUUCCAGUCUCCAGUGCAAGGAGGGGAAACUGAAGGAGAAUAAGGCGGUUACAUUCAGUUAGAGCCUGAGAGCAGAAUUUGGUUAGGCUGAAGCAGCUGGAAACUGUGGAAUGUAAUACCAGAGAGGAGACUGCCACACAAAGAACUCUAAAAAUUUUGAUUUUCAGCAAACCUUCAGAAGGCAAAAGGGAAAGUUUUCCCAUGGGCCAACGUGGAUAUGUUUCUGUAAUAGUCUGCUCAGCCUUCUACAACAAGAUGUCGCAGACUGGGUGACUUAAACCAGGGAUCCUCAAACCCUGGCAAUGGAUCGGUACGGGUCAGUGGCCUGUUAGGAAUCAGGCCACGUAGCAGGAGUCCAUAUUUGGAAUAACAACAAUAUAACACUCCUUUGGUAGUUAUAUUUUCUCACCUUCUUUACAGAAGAAGAAAUCCUUACUUAGAAAGGCUCAUUCUAGGGGAAACCAGCUGCCAUAUUAAGAAAACAGUCCUAUGGAAAGGGCCAUGGAACAAAGAAGUGACUUCUGCCAACAACCUCAUGAGUGAACCUAGAAGUGGCUCAUCUAGUCCUGGUCAAAUCUUAUGGACUGUGGCUCCAACUGAUAGUGUGACUGUAACUUCAUAAGAGACGCUGAACCAGACCACCCAAUAAGACACUCCCAGAUUCCCUACUCUCAAAAGUUGUGUGAAAUAAUCACCCCCAGUUGUAUUAAACUGCUAAGUUUUGGGGUAGUGUGUUACACAGCAAUAAAUCAUAAAUACAACAUCCAAGCAAUAAAUUUCUAUGAUAAA